rnacentral:rRNA from 1 species
AAUGGGAUUCCUUAAGUAAUUGCGAAUGAACAAGGAAAUGCUCAGCUUGAAAAAUGGGGCCUUUGGCUUUGAAUUGUAAUUUUGAAAUGUAUUGCCAAUGGAGGCGCAGGUGCAAGCCUAUUGAAAGAAAGCGUCAAUGAGGGUGAGAUUCCUUUUUGUCAUUUGCAGUCCUCCGUGCACGGUAUAUAUUUGACGAGUCACACUCCUCGGCAUUGGAAUGCAAAGUGGGUGGUAAAUUCCAUGUAAAGGUAAAUAUAUUAUUGAGACUGAUAGCAAACAAGUACCAUGAGGGAAAUAUGAAAAGGACUUUGAAAAGAGAAUUAAAAGAGUCUGCAUUUGCUGAACAGAAAGCAAACAGAAUUGAUUUUACUUGGUGAGAUUGUUGUGCUUACUCUAUCAUUUAUAUGGUUGAUGUGGGUGCGAUGGUUCUUACCUUGAAUGUCAGCUUCUAUUUCUGCAAAUCAUUACCCUUGCACAUGAAUGGUAACUUGCCUGCGGGUAUUGGAAUGCAUGUGUUUGCAAUGAUUUGUGAUUUGACGCAUGUGUUUGGUGAAAUUUGUAUAUGCUCUUUUGUCGAAGGGGAAAGCUUACUUUUUUGAGCAUUGCAAGCCCUUACACAUCAGUGCUGGCAAAAUGUUUCUGCUUGACCCGUCUUGAAACACGGACCAAGGAGUCUAACAGAUGUGCAAGUUCGUGGGUGGCAAACCUUUUUGCGCAAUGAAAGUAUUGGCUGGGAUACUUGCACCAGCAGCCGACCAAUUAGCAGACAGAGGUUUGAGUUUGAGCAUAUCUAUUAGGACCCGAAAGAUGGUGAACUAUGCCUGAACAGAAUGAAUUCAGAGGAAACUCUGAUGGAGGUUCGUAUCGAUACUGACGUGCAAAUCGUUCGUCAUACUUGGGUAUAGGGGCGAAAGACUAAUCGAACCAUCUAGUAGCUGGUUCCCUCCGAAGUUUCCCUCAGGAUAGCUGGAGUUGCACAGUUUUAUCAGGUAAAGCGAAUGAUUAGAGGAAUUGGGGACACGCUGUCCUUGACCUAUUCUCAAACUUUAAAUGGGUAAGAUGCAAUGGUUGCUUUAUUGAACUUUUGGAAUAAAUGGCAAUAUCAGGUGGGCCAUUUUUGGUAAGCAGAACUGGCGAUGAGGGAUGAACCUAACGUUGGGUUAAGGUGCUUAAUUGCUUGCUCAUUAGAUACCAGAAAGGGUGUUGGUUCAUUUUAACAGCAGGACGGUGGUCAUGGAAGUCGAAAUCCGCUAAGGAGUGUGUAACAACUCACCUGCCGAAUGGACUAGCCCCGAAAAUGGAUGGCGCUCAAGCGGGUGACCGAUACCCAACCACUGUUGCAAAUAGUGUCAGUGUGUAGGAGGGCAUGGCGGUUUGUGAUGCAGCCUU